rnacentral:rRNA from 1 species
UACAGAGGUGCCAAGCGUUGUUCGGAUUUAUUGGGCGUAAAGGGUGCGUAGGCGGCGCGACAAGUUGGGUGUGAAAUCCCUCGGCUCAACCGAGGAACUGCGCCCAAAACUGUCGUGCUCGAGGGAGACAGAGGUGAGCGGAACUUAGGGUGGAGCGGUGAAAUGCGUUGAUAUCCUAAGGAACACCGGUGGCGAAAGCGGCUCACUGGGUCUCUUCUGACGCUGAGGCACGAAAGCUAGGGUAGCGAACGGG